rnacentral:rRNA from 1 species
GACGAACGCUGGCGGCGUGCCUAAUACAUGCAAGUAGAACGCACAGUUUAUACCGUAGCUUGCUACACCAUAGACUGUGAGUUGCGAACGGGUGAGUAACGCGUAGGUAACCUGCCUGGUAGCGGGGGAUAACUAUUGGAAACGAUAGCUAAUACCGCAUAAUAUUAAUUAUUGCAUGAUAAUUAAUUGAAAGGUGCAAUUGCACCACUACCAGAUGGACCUGCGUUGUAUUAGCUAGUAGGUGAGGUAACGGCUCACCUAGGCGACGAUACAUAGCCGACCUGAGGGGGUGAUCGGCCACACUGGGACUGAGGCACGGCCCAGACUCCUACGGGAGGCAGCAGUAGGGAAUCUUCGGCAAAGGACGAAAGUCUGACCGAGCAACGCCGCGUGAGUGAAGAAGGUGUUCGGAUCGAAAGCUCUGUUGUAAGAGAAGAACGGGUGUGAGAGUGGAAAGUUCACACUGUGACGGUAUCUUACCAGAAAGGGACGGCUAACUACGUG